AUUGAACGCUGGCGGCAGGCUUAGCACAUGCAAGUCGAGCGGAGAUGAGGUGCUUGCACCUUAUCUUAGCGGCGGACGGGUGAGUAAUGCUUAGGAAUCUGCCUAUUAGUGGGGGACAACAUUCCGAAAGGAAUGCUAAUACCGCAUACGCCCUACGGGGGAAAGCAGGGGAUCUUCGGACCUUGCGCUAAUAGAUGAGCCUAAGGCGGAUUAGCUAGUUGGUGGGGUAAAGGCCUACCAAGGCGACGAUCUGUAGCGGGUCUGAGAGGAUGAUCCGCCACACUGGGACUGAGACACGGCCCAGACUCCUACGGGAGGCAGCAGUGGGGAAUAUUGGACAAUGGGCGGAAGCCUGAUCCAGCCAUGCCGCGUGUGUGAAGAAGGCCUUUUGGUUGUAAAGCACUUUAAGCGAGGAGGAGGCUACCUGGAUUAAUACUCUAGGAUAGUGGACGUUACUCGCAGAAUAAGCACCGGCUAACUCUGUGCCAGCAGCCGCAGUAA
rnacentral:rRNA from 1 species